UGUCGCUUCUACAGCGGCUACGCACGGCCCCGCGCCAGAGGCUACAGGGGCCGAUCCCGAGCCACCUCCUGGUACUCCCCAUAUUAACAAAAAAAACCC